UUCGAGUCUUCUCAUACUUAUAAGAAUCUUCAACCAAUCAGAUUGAAAUGUAACUUCCACGUUCAUUAGCCUUUAAACAACUGUUCCCGCUCCUUUUGUCUAACACAAAUAACUGCUAGAAAUAACCUUCGACACUUGAACUCUUCGAUUCACGACAACAAAAGCGGAAGAUAGCGGCAGAUUAUUAGUGUCUGUUUUGAUAGCCGCUAUAAUUUUCUAAUUUAACGGCGAUUCUGGCUGCGGUUUUAAGAAGAGCAGUUGUAUGAUGUGAUUUGCAGUGAUUUUGACAACCCACCGCUAACCUGGCUUUUUUAAUCCAUCAAGGUUCGGGCUCAACUUGCCCUCUUUCUGUUUCAUUCAAUGUCGCCGCCAGAUUUUCACCAUCACCGUCCAUCACUGGUUAUGCUCUUUCUUCCUUUCUUUGUUUGUUUGGGUAUUCGCUUUCUUAUUUUGUCUUCUUUUUUCUCCUAGGUCAUUGAUUUUAUUUUUUUCAUUGCUGGAGCAGUAAAACGAGGUGAAUUCUUGAAAUUUGUCUAAUUAUACUAACUAAUUGUGUUGUUGCAAGUCCAAUUUUUAUUUUGGCUAAUUGAUUUUUGUCUAAUUUUACUAUGAAAUCCAUUGCUCCAUGAGCCCCCCAAAUCUUGUUAACCCUAACCCUUACUCCAUGAGCUUUGAUUGGCGCUGCUUCUGCUGGUCCUGACCCCGAAGCAGUGCUCCCCUGCUUCCUUUCUUUUGCCAAAUCUGCUCUAUCCGUGGUUCAAAUUUGCUGCAGCUGUACGAGUUUCUUGCCACAGUCGCCUCCGGCCUCUGUUGCCACCACCACCAUCUCAGGUUCUUCUCUUUCUUCUUUUUAUUUCAUUACUGGGGUUUCGUUUUCUUAUUUACCUUUUUAUUUGGAUUCUUGGAUUUGUCAAUUGAUUGAACACCGAAAGUUAUAUUUUAAUUAACAACUUAAAGCAAUCAAAGGUGACUUGAGGAGUAAUUUUUUUCUCCAUAUUUUAUAUCAAUAGAUUAUAUAUAUUGAAUUUGUCAGUUGAUUUGAAUGCUAAUUUUGAUGAGUUAGAUAAAGAUGAUGAAGUCCUUGUUUUUUUAUAUGAGAUUUUGGGUGCUAAAUACUUAUUUUUUUAAUCUCUAUUAAACAUGCGGCAUUUACACGGUCCAAGAGCCGUGAUUAUGUUCCUUAUGCGAAUGCCCCUUACAAGAGCUUAACAGUGGAAAAGGCUGUGCAAAACUGGAUACAAUAUGAAGGAAAUGGUUUCAGGUUUUCUGGUGGAGGCACACAGUUUCCCUAAGGAGCUGAUGCUUAUAAUUGAUGAAUUAGCAUCUGUUAUUCCACUGGACAAUGGCAUGGUUGCUAAUUGGAAGGAAUACCUGUUUAAGAAAAAUGUUGUUACAAUGUUAAUUGCCCAAAGGACUCUCAUGAAGCACAAGUGAAAUUUGCUUUAGAAAGAGGUGUUCCGGCUAUCAUUGGCAUUCUUGGAACCAUCAUGUGUGCUACUAACUCUGAAUAAUUCCAUGAUAGAGAUAUCUGUAUUUUUUUAGUGUAACUUUUUGUUUCCAUCAUGAGUCUGCCUUUGAUGGUUCAUGUAAUAAGUACCAUGCUAUUAGAGGUUCUAUUCGUUUGGUGUUUUAUGGUUCUCAACUAAACUGUGUUUUGCUUUCUUAGGGAUUUAUCCUCCUGUAAAUGAGAUAGUUAAACAAUACGAAAAAUUUCUUUUGCUUGAACGGCUGUUGGAAAGGUUAUUUGCAAGGAAACACAGAGUUUUGAUAUUCAAUCAGUGGACCAAAGUGUUAGACAUACUGGAUUACUAUUUGAGUUAGAAAGGAUUUGAAGUUUGUGAAAUUUAUGGUAAUGUUAGACAUACUGCAUUAGCAUGAGCCGUUAAUUUGAAUUUAUUUGUUGCUCUUGUUAUAAGUUUUAUAUACUUCUUUAUAUUUUUAAUCCAAGUUGGACAAUUUAUUGAUAUUAAUUUAUAGCAUGGUUGUCUGCAAAUUUUAUUCUAAGUUGUACUCACAUGCUGAUCAUAUAAUGGAAACCAUCCAGCGGCAUUUCAAGAAUGAAGAAGUUCAGGUGAGUCUUCAUUGCUUGAGUGAGAUGUAGACUGUAUAUAAUGUUAAUCUUCAAAAACAUGUCAUAGCUUGGCAAACGCCUGAUAAGUAUGAGGAAUCAUGUGGAAGGCUUUGGCUUGAGAAGGCUGUGGCUACCGUGAGUAUGGCUUUUUUGUUCUAUUUUUUAUUUAUUUAUUAUUUUUGUUUUAUUGAAUUCUUGUAGUCAAUUAUGUUUUAUUGCACUUAAGAGUUGCACUUUCUUGGUAUUCUUUUACUAUGUUUGGUUUUCCUUCCAUUGUUAUUCGUGAGACAUUUUCACUUAGGAUUCUAAUGAGAUAAUGAUCAAUUUUAUAAUAUUAUUUUCUACUAAUUUAUUAUGCAGUAAUUUAUGGGGAC